AGCGCAGACGGUUAUUUAAGUCUGAAGUGAAAGCCCUCAGCUCAACUGAGGAAUUGCUUUGGAAACUGGAUGACUUGAGUGCAGUAGAGGAGAGUGGAACUCCAUGUGUAGCGGUGAAAUGCGUAGAUAUUAGGAGGAACACCAGUGGCGAAGGAGACUUUCUGGACUGUAACUGACACUGAGGCUCGAAAGCCAGGGUAGUGAACG
rnacentral:rRNA from 1 species